rnacentral:tRNA from 1 species
GGGGAUGUGGCUCAGUGGUAAAGUGCUUGCUUCGCAUGUGUGAGGCCCUGAGUUAGAUUCUCAGCACCA